rnacentral:rRNA from 1 species
UACGGGGGGGGCAAGCGUUGUUCGGAAUUACUGGGCGUAAAGGGCUCGUAGGCGGCCAACUAAGUCGGAUGUGAAAUCCCCAGGCUUAACCUGGGAACUGCAUCCGAUACUGGAUGGCUUGAAUCCGGGAGAGGGAUGCAGAAUUCCAGGUGUAGCGGUGAAAUGCGUAGAUAUCAAGAGGAACACCUGCGGCGAAGGCGGGUUGCUGGGCCGACACUGACGCUGAUGCGCGAAAGCUAGGGGAGCGAACGGG